UUUCCUUUUUGUCACCUCACAAAGCCCUGCUUUGUUUGCUUUAUCUAAGACCUCUGUGCUACCUAGCUAAGUUUGGCUUCCUGUCCAAUGCUGUUCACUCUGUCUCCAUGGAUCCAGCUCAAUUGGAAGAAAAAGCAGAUGAAGGCCUGAAUGUCUACUGAGUUUUCAGUGACUUCCUCAAACUUCUCACUUACCUUUCAGUGCUGGCAUCGUCCAGUUAACAUCUCUGAAAGGUACGGAUACAAGUUAUCUACAGGGUAACACCUGUAGAUAUGAUGCAACAGGCUUAUGCCAUUGGAGAGUGAAUAGUCAACCUUCUGAAAACAGUGUACACCACCGGAAGGGCAAGAAAAAAAACUACAAUAUAGAACAUCUUUCUGACCUUGAGGUCAGGAAGUCCUCCUCGACAAGACACAAAAAAGAAAAAUCACAAAGGAAAAGAAUGACAACUUGACUCCAUCAAAAUUAAAAACAGGUGCACAUCAGAAUAUACCAUAUAUACAAUUAAAAGAUAAGUAAUGAUAUAGAAGAAACUAAUUGCCUCACACAAAGCAAACUUGGACUGCUUUCU
rnacentral:lncRNA from 1 species